GGCCAGACUCCUACGGGAGGCAGCAGUGGGGGAUAUUGGACAAUGGGGGGAACCCUGAUCCAGCGACGCCGCGUGAGUGAAGAAGUAUCUCGGUAUGUAAAGCUCUAUCAGCAGGGAAGAAAGAAAUGACGGUACCUGAGUAAGAAGCCCCGGCUAACUACGUGCCAGCAGCCGCGGUAAUACGUAGGGGGCAAGCGUUAUCCGGAUUUACUGGGUGUAAAGGGAGCGUAGACGGCGGGGCAAGUCUGGAGUGAAAGGCCGGGGCCCAACCCCGGGACCGCUCUGGAAACUGCCCGGCUGGAGUGCGGGAGAGGUAAGCGGAAUUCCUAGUGUAGCGGUGAAAUGCGUAGAUAUUAGGAGGAACACCAGCGGCGAAGGCGGCUUACUGGACCGUGACUGACGUUGAGGCUCGAAAGCGUGGGGAGCGAACAGGAUUAGAUACCCCCGUAGG
rnacentral:rRNA from 1 species